GUGCUUGCUUUGGCAGCACAGAUACUAAAAUUGGAAUGAUACAGAGAAGAUUAGCAUGGCUUCUGUGCAAAGAUGACAUGCAAAUUCGUGAAGGAUUUCAUUAAUAA
ensembl:snRNA U6 U6 spliceosomal RNA